CGCCAUCAGCGAUCGUAUAACACUGACGACAUGGUUCUACAGAAACCAGGAUUAGAUACCCUUCUAUUUCAUAAUCACUAAAAUCAGGGUAGUAAAUGUUAUAAACCCCAAACCCAAAGAAUUUGGCGGUGUUUAAUCUAAUCAGAGGAACCUGUUACAUAAACGUCACUACACGUUAAAUCUUACCUAAAUAGGCUCAUAUACCGUCAUUUAAGUACAACUAUAAAGCUAGUGCUAAAAUAGGAGCUACAAGUAUUUUAGAUUAGGUGUGGUAUUUUUAGGUGUAAAUUGGUUACAUUUUAAAUAAAAGUGGAGUAUUGGUUUUAACAACAUAUGAAAAAGGAUUUGAUAGUAAUUUAAUUUAAUUAAAUUAAAUGAAAUAGCUCUUAAGCAUGUACAUAUCGCCGUCGCUAGACCAAGUCUCUGCUACCGUAUAUACGAUCGCUGAGCGGGCUGG
rnacentral:rRNA from 1 species